CAGUCCAAUCUUUUUUAAUUAAUAUUUUUAAUUUUUUAUUCCUAAUAAUUGGUCUUUAUUCAGAAUAUGUGAAAAUGUAAGUGAUCACUUAUUACUGAAUACUCACUUAGAGAAUAUCGAAAGCCAACACUCAAUCCCUAAUAGUUUCCAACCCCAAUCCCUCUGUCAAACCCAAUCUCCGGCGAGUUUUCUCGUCUGGCCACACCUUAAUCGAGCGUGCUUCUAGGUCCGUUGAGGUGCAUCGAUUGCGGAUGAAAGCAGUGACGAAGACCUUACUUGAGUGUUGUUGAUCGUUGUUAGGCUUUCUAUUAUCAUGUUCACGGAUAUUUUAGUUUAGAAUAUUUUGUAUGCAAACUCAUCUAUUUUGACUUUUGAAUUGUUGAUCAAACAAUGUAUUCAUAUUUUAUUUUUGUAUAUGGAUAAUGCUAUUUGGAUAUUUUAAUUUUAUUUCGUGGUUUA